rnacentral:rRNA from 1 species
CUGAUGAGUUGCUGCUGGUUCUCUAGGGAGCAUGUGCACACUUGUCAUCUUUAUAUCUCCACCUGUGAACCUUUUGUAGACCUGGAUAUCUCUCUCUGAAUGCCUGGAAAAUUCAGGAUUGAGGAUUGAUUUUUUUUUUUGUCUUUCCUUGUGUUUUCAGGUCUAUGUUUUUCAUAUACCCCCAUGUAUGUUUAUAGAAUGUAAUGAACGGGCCUUUUGUGCCUAUAAACUUAUACAACUUUCAGCAACGGAUCUCUUGGCUCUCGCAUCGAUGAAAAACGCAGCGAAAUGCGAUAAGUAAUGUGAAUUGCAAAAUUCAGUGAAUCAUCGAAUCUUUGAACGCACCUUGCGCUCCUUGGUAUUCCGAGGAGCAUGCCUGUUUGAGUGUCAUUAAUAUAUCAACCCUCUUCAGGCUUUUGCAUGUUGAGUGUUGGAUGUGGGGGGAUACUCUUUUUUGCUGGACUCUCUUUUGAGGUCAGCUCCCCUAAAAUACAUUAGCAAAACAAUUUGUUUACUGCUCAUUGGUGUGAUAACUAUCUACGCUGUUGAAAGUAAAGCACAGUUUAGCUUCUAACAGUCCAUUGACUUGGACAACCUUUUAUCAAUGUGACCUCAAAUCAGGUAGGAUUACCCGCUGAACUUAAGC